UGCUACGGCAGUGAAGUCAUUGAUGCCAUGCUUCCAGGAAAAGCCUCUAAGCUUCAGAUUGUAAGGAAUCGUACCCCAAACCGACACAGGUGGUCGGGUAGAGAAUACCAAGGCGCUUGAGAGAACUCGGGUGAAGGAACUAGGCAAAAUGGUACCGUAACUUCGGGAGAAGGUACGCUCUCGAUGGUGAAGUCCCUCGCGGAUGGAGCUAUUGAGAGUCGCAGAUACCAGGUGGCUGCAACUGUUUAUUAAAAACACAGCACUGUGCAAAAUCGUAAGAUGACGUAUACGGUGUGACGCCUGCCCGGUGCCGGAAGGUUAAUUGAUGGGGUUAGACUUCGGUCGAAGCUCUUGAUCGAAGCCCCGGUAAACGGCGGCCGUAACUAUAACGGUCCUAAGGUAGCGAAAUUCCUUGUCGGGUAAGUUCCGACCUGCACGAAUGGCGUAAUGAUGGCCACGCUGUCUCCACCCGAGACUCAGGACCCUACAUGUGUAGGAUAGGUGGGAGGCUUUGAAGCACGUACGCCAGUAUGUGUGGAGCCGUCCUUGAAAUACCACCCUUGUAGUGUUGAUGUUCUAACGUCGACCCCUAAUCGGGGUUGCGGACAGUGCCUGGUGGGUAGUUUGACUGGGGCGGUCUCCUCCCAAAGAGUAACGGAGGAGCACGAAGGUGGGCUAAUCACGGUUGGACAUCGUGAGGUUAGUGCAAUGGCAUAAGCCCGCUUGACUGCGAGAAUGACAAUUCGAGCAGGUGCGAAAGCAGGUCAUAGUGAUCCGGUGGUUCUGAAUGGAAGGGCCAUCGCUCAACGGAUAAAAGGUACUCCGGGGAUAACAGGCUGAUACCGCCCAAGAGUUCAUAUCGACGGCGGUGUUUGGCACCUCGAUGUCGGCUCAUCACAUCCUGGGGCUGAAGUCGGUCCCAAGGGUAUGGCUGUUCGCCAUUUAAAG
rnacentral:rRNA from 1 species